AUGUAAAAGUGUAUGUAAACCAGCAGGCUUGGCUUGGCUUUCAUGGAGCAAAACUAAGAGGUCUGGCAAUUGUCCUGGUAAUCACCUUGAUAAAAACAGCAGAUCUAUUUCUGUUCCAUGAUGGAUAUUCUGGCUUUAAAUUAGUUCAAUUAUUAUGGUGCCUGAAUUAAUUAACCAGGUAAUUCUGCAACUGGGAAAAGUCUCCUUCGAGAUGGAGUGGGUAUCUCCUGCUUAUGCCUCUAUUGCUAUGUAGCUUUUAAGUGGAUUAAUUUUAGAAAGUUCAGCUCACAAAGUUCCUUUUCCCUUACUGACAGCCCUGUAAACUUGACUUUAGAUCUGUAACGGAUGUCACUACUUCAAAGAACUGUAAUCCUGUGUUUGAUACACUCCUCCUGCCCCCAGGACAUUAUCUGUGCGAGAGAAGGGAAGCCAGGAACCCAGAAAUGGUCUGCAGGGAGGUGAACUGGAAUGGCAAUACAUGGUACACGGAAGAGCUUUGCCUCUGACGAUGACCCUCAGCUUUCCUGCUGCUCUCUUCCUAGGUUUUGUUUCUAAGUAUCUGGGCUUUGAAGAAUGGGGGUGGAGGGAUUCAAAGAAGACUUUUAGGAGGAGCCAGUCCCACUAGCAGAUAUUGUUGCUCUAACUCUGCCUAAGGAGCAAUUUCUGGCCCUGAGUCAUGAUCCCAAACAGGAAGUGCUUCUGAGUUCCUCCAAACAAGGUUUUUGCUACUUCAGGAAACCAUAGUUGUUGGCUGAUUUAGAAAAAUUACAGCAGCAUUAUACAAUAAGAGCUAUUUCUGCCCUCUUGUCACUAAAGUAUAACAAUAUUGCGUCCGGAAUUGGUGGGUUCUUGGUCUCACUGACUUCAAGAAUGAAGCCGCGGACCCUUGCGGGAUAGACACCUCCCUGAAUAAAGCCAUCAUCUGUAAUAACGCUGAGAUCUGGAGGAAGAGCUCUGUAGCACUACUGCAGAGUUGCUACAUGAACCCAUCAGAUCCUCCCUCCAGGAACUCGAAUGUAAAUCCAUUCAAGAGAAGUCAACCCUUGGAAGAUGGACAGAAGGGAAAAGACACACAGAAAAUAAGCCAGAAAGCAUCCACAGGAAGCAGAAGCUCUGGCAAGCAGGAAUUAAGAAACAGAGAAAAGGAAAGUGGAAACAUAUGAAUGCAUGUAAACAAUAGCAGUAAAAGCAAGGCAGAAAGUAGUUAGUGCCCAUAACAGCAAAGGACUGAAGCAGGCAGACAGAUACCUACAUUUAAGGAGUAUCUGCCAGAGCAAAAGAAGUAGAUUGGGUAUAAAUUCACCUUAUGUGCCUGCAGUGUUUAGUGCUUGGUGAGGUUUGGUCAUGUUACCGCUGACAUCUGCUACCCCUGUGUGUCCUUAAAAUCAAUCCUUAUUAUCUGAUGUAACCAUGAACUUCUCUUUCAUUCCUUAUGGCUUAAAAUACCUUACCCACCAACUGUGCUAUUAAUGACUUGUGUGGCCCGAGAUAGGUCACUUCCCUUGUCUACCUCGGUUUUCUUGGUGACAAGAUGAGGGUUUGACCAGGUGAUAUCUAAGUUCACUUCCAGCUCCAAUGCAUAUUAUUUUGAACUUUAGCAUGAAAGGGUUUGGUCACAGUUCUAUUGCAAAAUCCUGGAAAUAUCACCACCUUCUUUAUUUCCAGCCCCUUCUCCAGCCACAGAGCGCUUUAAACUUGAGACUCGCCUCAUAAGGAAUCUAAAUGCAGUGCCACUGUGCAAAUUAGCUGUGCAGCAUCCCAGGGGCACCCCAAGCAGGCUUGCCCAGCCUCAUGCAAUGCUUUCUGUUGAGCUAUCAGGAGAGUGUAUGCUCUGGCCCCAUCUCUCCAUUCUCAAGAUACUUUUUCAACCCCUACUAGAAAGAGAUGAAAACAAACUAUGGGAAGUUGCAAACAUGUUGAUGGGAAUUGAGGUAAAAUGCAGAAAGGUUGCUGGGUCUGGUGUGGUUGGAGGUGACUAUACCACUGUCCGAAGGAAAUCUGGAAGGGAUGAUUUUACAGGUUUUACUUAAAAUUUCAUUUCUGGCCGGGCGCGGUGGCUCGCGCCUGUAAUCUUAGCAUUUUGGGA
rnacentral:lncRNA from 1 species